UGGUGCACCAGAAAGGGGAAUCGUCGGGAUAG
rnacentral:tRNA from 1 species